rnacentral:rRNA from 1 species
AUUGAACGCUUGCGGCAGGCCUAACACAUGCAAGUCGAACGAGUGGCGGACGGGUGAGUAAUGUCUAGGAAACUGCCUGCUGGAGGGGGAUAACUACUGGAAACGGUAGCUAAUACCGCAUACCAUAAUAUGUGCCCAGAUGGGAUUAGGUAGUUGGUGGGGCAACGGCUCACCAAGGCGACGCUGCCUAGCUGGUCUGAGGGGCUGACCAGCCACACUGGAACUGCGACACGGUCCAGACUCCGACGGGAGGCAGCAGUGGGGAAUAUUGCGCAAUGGGCGCAAGCCUGAUGCAGCCAUGCCGCGUGUAUGAAGAAGGCCUUCGGGUUGUAAAGUUCUUUCGGCGGGGAGGCGUUACCCGCAGAAGAAGCACCGGCUAACUCCGUGCCAGCAGCCGCGGUAAUUC